rnacentral:tRNA from 1 species
GCCUGGGUGGCUCAGUCGGUUAAGCAUCUGACUUUGGCUCAGGUCAUGAUUUUGUGAUUUGUGGGUUCAGGCCCCAUGUCGGGCU